UGUGAACAUACCUCACUGUUGCUUCGGCGGGAUUGCCCCGGGCGCCUCGUGUGCCCCGGAUCAGGCGCCCGCCUAGGAAACUUAAUUCUUGUUUUAUUUUGGAAUCUUCUGAGUAGUUUUUACAAAUAAAUAAAAACUUUCAACAACGGAUCUCUUGGUUCUGGCAUCGAUGAAGAACGCAGCGAAAUGCGAUAAGUAAUGUGAAUUGCAGAAUUCAGUGAAUCAUCGAAUCUUUGAACGCACAUUGCGCCCGCCAGUAUUCUGGCGGGCAUGCCUGUCUGAGCGUCAUUUCAACCCUCAUGCCCCUAGGGCGUGGUGUUGGGGAUCGGCCAAAGCCCGCGAGGGACGGCCGGCCCCUAAAUCUAGUGGCGGACCCGUCGUGGCCUCCUCUGCGAAGUAGUGAUAUUCCGCAUCGGAGAGCGACGAGCCCCUGCCGUUAAACCCCCAACUUUCCAAGGUUGACCUCAGAUCAGGUAGGAAUACCCGCUGAACUUAAGCAUAUC
rnacentral:rRNA from 1 species